rnacentral:rRNA from 1 species
UACGAAGGGGGCUAGCGUUGUCCGGAUUUAUUGGGCGUAAAGAGCGUGUAGGCGGCCAGAUAGGUCUGCUGUGAAAACUCGAGGCUCAACCUCGAGCUGUCGGCGGAAACCAUCUGGCUAGAGUCCGGAAGAGGAGAGUGGAAUUCCCGGUGUAGUGGUGAUAUGCGUAGAUAUCGGGAGGAACACCUGUGGCGAAGGCGGCUUUCUGGGCCUUACCUGACGCUGAGACGCGAAAAGCGUGGGGGAGCGAACCGG